UCCCUCCCUUUCUCUCCCCCGUCCCUCCCUCUCUCACCCUCCCUCACCUUUACCUUUUGACCUUUGACCUUCUAAGUGUCAGCCUAUCAGAGCGCAGUGUGCUGGUCCCCGACACCAGGGACUUCUGGGAGAAAGUGUGUUGAUGGGUCGCACCAAGUGACCAAGGAGGAGGGGUGGACAUCUUUUCCCCAUUCUCUGCAUCUGAGGCGUCAUCAGACCCUUUUUCCGCUGUGUCUUUUGUAUUUGCACAAUUGGAACAACGACCAAAGUCAGUGCAACACAGUCCUGCAGAGAAACAGGAACAAAAACCAGCUCGCAGACGUUGCGCAGGGUGGGAUUGUGAAACACCAGCUGAGGGAAAUCACGAGUCAGCCUCUUCUUCAACGUAUCCUUUCUGCAACACAACGAAACAGUGACAAUUAAGAGUCACAUGAGUACCAUC